rnacentral:tRNA from 1 species
GCCCCUGUGGUGGAAUUGGUAGACGCAGCGGACUCAAAAUCCGCCGCCGCGAGGCAUGUCGGUUCGAGUCCGACCGGGGGCA